ensembl:misc_RNA
UUGAGAGCACUAGAAAAUGAAGUUCUGUCUUUAGCUACAGGGCAGGGACAGCAUGAACAUUAGCAGUGCACACUUUCCAACACUACUCUGCCAAUGUACCUCACCCCUGACUUACAAAGACCCCUACUAGGGAUGAGAGGGUAGGUCAGUCUCCAUGCCUGGUCAGUUAUUGGCCUCU